GCAGUGGUGGUUUUGUGGUAGAAUUCUCAUCUUCCAUGCUGGAGACCUGGGUUCAAUUCCCAGCCAAUGCA
rnacentral:tRNA from 1 species